CAGUCGCCGCGGGAAUACGAAGGGGGCUAGCGUUGCUCGGAAUGACUGGGCGUAAAGGGCGCGUAGGCGGCGAUCAAAGUCAGGCGUGAAAUUCCUGGGCUCAACCUGGGGGCUGCGCUUGAUACUUGGUUGCUUGAGUGGGGAAGAGGGUCGUGGAAUUCCCAGUGUAGAGGUGAAAUUCGUAGUUAUUGGGAAGAACACCGGUGGCGAAGGCGGCGACCUGGUCCUUGACUGACGCUGAGGCGCGAAAGCGUGGGGAACAAACAGGAUUAGAUACCCCCGUAGUCCCUGUCUCUUAUAC
rnacentral:rRNA from 1 species